GCAAGUCGAACGAGAAUCUUCGGAUUCUAUUGGCGGACGGGUGAGUAACACGUAGUUAAUCUGCCUUAGGGAAGGUAAUAAUCGGAGAUAUUCGAGGUAAUACCCUAUAUGGUCUUCGGACUGAAAGCUCCGGCGCCCUGAGAUGAGCCUGCGGUGCAUUAGCUAGUUGGUGGGGUAAUGGCCUACCAAGGCGACGAUGCAUAGCUGGUCUGAGAGGAUGAUC
rnacentral:rRNA from 1 species